rnacentral:rRNA from 1 species
GACGAACGCUGGCGGCGUGCCUAAUACAUGCAAGUCGACCUUAGUGGCGAACGGGUGAGUAACACGUGGGUAACCUGCCCAUCAGAAGGGGAUAACAAUUGGAAACAGGUGCUAAUACCGUAUACUGAUUGAUGGGACCGCGGUUCAGUAGCUAGUUGGUGAGGUAACGGCUAACCAAGGCCACGAUGCAUAGCCGACCGGAUAGGGUGAUCGGCCCGCUUUGGACUGAGACCCGGCCCAAACUCCUACGUGAGGCAGCAGUAGGGAAUCUUCGUCAAUGGACGAAAGUCUGACCUAGCAACGCCGCGUUAGUGAAGAAGGUUUUCGGAUCGUAAAACUCUGUUGUUAGAGAAGCGGUAUCUAACCAGAAAGCCACGGCUAACUACGUGCCAGCAGCCGCGGUAAUAC